CUAAGUUAGGUGGUUAGACCUUGCUAAGUUUUUCCCUUGUGCCAAGAUAUGGGAAAUUUUCAAAUUCUUAGUUUUUGAAAUUUAAUGGUUGGAGUGCACUCUUUGUAUCACCAAAUGACUACUGCAAAUAUCUGGGUGCAAGAACAUAUUCAUUUUGGUUGGUUGUCAAGCUAGCCAAAUAUUAUGGUGAGACUUGCCUAAUUUGGUGUUUGGUGCAAAGAUUGGAGAAAGUUUCAAAGUCUUCCUUUUUGAGAUUAUAUGGUUGGAAUGCACUCUUUAUAUCCCCAAAUGACUACCUAAAAAAUCCUUGUGCAAGAAAUGUUUCAUUUUCGUUGCUUUUGAAGCUAGCUAAGUUAGGUGGUGAGACUUGACUAAAUUUAUCCUUGGUGCCAAGAUUACUGAAAAUUUCAGAGUCUUGGUUUUUGAGAUUUGAUUGUUGGAAUGCACUCUUUAUAUCACCAAAUGGAUACUAUAUAAAUCUCCUGCAAGAAAUUUUUCAUUUUGGUUGGUUUUCAAGCGAACUAAGUUAGGUUGUGAGACUUGGCUAAGUUUGUCCUUGGUGUCAAGAUUUGUGAAAUUUUCAGAGUCUGGGUUUCUCAUAUUUGAUUGUUGGAAUGUACUCUUUUUAUCACCAAAUGGCUACUACAAAAAGCUCGUGCAAGAAAUUUUUCAUUUUGGUUGGUUUUCAAGCGAACUAAGUUCGGUUGUGAGACUUGGCUAAGUUUGUCCUUGGUGUCAAGAAUUGUGAAAUUUUCAGAGUCUGGGUUUUUCAGAUUUGAUUGUUGGAAUGUACUCUUUAUAUCACCAAAUGGCUAAUAUGAAUAGCUCGUGCAAGAAAUUUUUCAUUUUGGUUAGUUUUCAAGCGAGCUAAGGUAGGUGGUGAGACUUGGCUAAGUUUUUCCUUGGUGUCAAGAUUUGUGAAAUUUUCAAAGUCUGGGUUUUUCAUAUUUGAUUGUUGGAAUGCACUCUUUUUAUCAUGAAAUGGCUACUAUAAAAGGCUCGUGCAAGAAAUUUUUCAUUUUGUUUGGUUUUCAAGCGAGCUAAGUCAGGUAGUGAGACUUGGCUAAGUUUGUCCUUAGUGUCAAGAUUUGUGAAAUUUUCAAAGUGCGGGUUUUUCAGAUUUGAUUGUUGGAAUGCACUCUUUAUAUCACCAAAUCACUACUAUGAUAAUCUCGUGCAAGAAAUUUUUCGUUGUGGUUGGUUCUAAAUCCAGCCAUGUUUCGUGGUAAGACACGACUAAGUUGGUGGUUGGUG
rnacentral:lncRNA from 1 species